GCCUAACGGCUGAACUGGCAACUUGGAGAAGUGGCAAGUCUUCCAGUAUGGGGAGCAAAACAGCUAUGGGUCAAGUCCGAUAUCUUUAGGAGAAGUCUUAUUGUGAGGGCGAGUUAUAUAACACCAUAGGACUGGCCGUCCCAUAUGAAAAGAUUAUAUUAGAAUUGAAUGAAGCUUUGUUUAUAUAUUGAUAAUGACAGUAUAUAUAUCGUGUCUUGACUAAUUGCGUGCCAGCAGUCGCGGUAAUACGUAAGAGACUAGUGUUAUUCAUCUUAAUUAGGUUUAAAGGGUACCCAGACGGUCAAUAUAGCUUAUAAAAUGUUAGUACUUGACUAGAGUUUUAUGUAAGAGGGCAGUACUUGAGGAGGAGAGAUGAAAUUUCGUGAUACCAAAGGGACUCUGUAAAGGCGAAGGCAGCCCUCUAUGUAAAAACUGACGUUGAAGGACGAAGGCACAGAGAACAAACAGGAUUAGAUACCCAAGUAGUCUUUGCAGUAAAUGAUGAAUGCCAUAGGUUAGAUUGAUCAAUUAUGGUCUAGGGUUAGUCUAGCAAACUAAUGCCCUGUGCUAUAAUUCAAAAUAUCUGGUCUAUAAAUGAAAGUGUAAGCAUUUCACCUCAAGAGUAAUGUGGCAACGCAGGAACUGAAAUCACUAGACCGUUUCUGACACCAGUAGUGAAG
rnacentral:rRNA from 2 species